rnacentral:rRNA from 1 species
UACGUAGGGGGCAAGCGUUGUCCGGAUUUAUUGGGCGUAAAGGGCGCGUAGGCGGUUUCUUAAGUUUGGAGUGACAGUGGGUGGCUUAACUACCCAAGGCCUUUGAAAACUGGGGAACUUGAGGACCAGAGAGGGACAUAGAAUUCCGGGUGGAGUGGUGAAAUGCGUAGAUAUCCGGAGGAAUACCAAAGGCGAAGGCAGUGUCCUGGAGGGUGACUGACGCUGAGGCGCGAAAGCUAGGGGAGCAAACGGG